rnacentral:rRNA from 1 species
CCUACGGGGGGCUGCAGUAACGAAUCUUCCGCAAUGCCCGCAAGGGUGACGGAGCGACGCCGCGUGGAGGUUAAGUCCCUCGGGAUGUAAACUCCUGUCGGGGGCCACCGGGGCCCCAGAGGAAGGCACGGCUAACUCUGUGCCAGCAGCCGCGGUAAUACAGAGGUGCCGAGCGUUAGGCGGAAUCACUGGGCUUAAAGCGCGCGUAGGUGGGCGUCUAAGUGCCGCGUGAAAUCCCACGGCUCAACCGUGGAACGGCCGGGCAGACUGGACGCCUUGAGGCACGCAGGGGCGAGCGGAACAAGUGGUGGAGCGGUGAAAUGCGUAGAUAUCACUUGGAACGCCGACGGUGAAAACAGCUCGCUGGGCGUGUCUGACACUGAGGCGCGAAAGCCAGGGGAGCGAACGGGAUUAGAUACCCUUGUAGUC